rnacentral:rRNA from 1 species
AUUGAACGCUGGCGGCAUGCUUUACACAUGCAAGUCGAACGGCAGCGCGGGCUUCGGCCUGGCGGCGAGUGGCGAACGGGUGAGUAAUGCAUCGGAACGUGCCCAGUAGUGGGGGAUAGCCCGGCGAAAGCCGGAUUAAUACCGCAUACGACCUGAGGGUGAAAGCGGGGGACCGAAAGGCCUCGCGCUAUUGGAGCGGCCGAUGUCGGAUUAGCUAGUUGGUGGGGUAAAGGCUUACCAAGGCGACGAUCCGUAGCUGGUCUGAGAGCACGACCAGCCACACUGGGACUGAGACACGGCCCAGACUCCUACGGGAGGCAGCAGUGGGGAAUUUUGGACAAUGGGGGCAACCCUGAUCCAGCCAUGCCGCGUGCGGGAAGAAGGCCUUCGGGUUGUAAACCGCUUUUGUUCGGGAAGAAAUCCUCUGGGCUAAUACCCCGGGGGGAUGACGGUACCGGAAGAAUAAGCACCGGCUAACUACGUG